rnacentral:lncRNA from 1 species
CGGGGAGGUAGCUGGGCCAGCAGAUCCUGGCUGUCCCUGUUUCUCAAGAUGCCAGCAGUCAGCAAAGCAGACCCUCUGAGUUUGCUCACAAGAACAAACUGGAGUAAAUAUUUAACUUGAGUCUUUGGAGUCUAGGGCUUGUACCUUUCUUUAUUAUUAACCCAACCCCUGUUUUUCUUCACAGUUGCAGAGCUGCUGGCACACAGGAAACAAAGGACCCUUGAAAUAACUUCCUCAUGGAGGCAUGAGCAAAGCUCUGCCAACCUGUCAGUCCAGCCAUGCAAGAGAGAGGGAGAGAGACAGAGAAAAAGAAAGGAGAGAGUGAAGGAGAGAUUCUUUCAGAUCUCAGCAGACAUUAAGGUAAAAGCCCAUUUCUCACUUCCUUAAUUACAUUUGUUUCUGUGUGUGUACAUGUAAACAGAAAUCCUGUUACCUUAGAGAGUUUUAAACUAAA